ensembl:lncRNA
CUCCGCCCCGCCCAAGGCCCCGCCCACCGCGCUGACGCCUGCCCCACUGCGGCCGCCUGCGAGGUAAGCACGCGCUUCUCGGCCUCUAAACUUCCAAACAGGCCCCUCCACACAGCCCCUCAGGGUGCUGAAGGAGUUACCGUAAUCAGACUCGUUAUCAGAAACAUUUUUUUUAAAAGCUCAUGAACGCUCCAAGGCCUCACCCACAGUUAAUCCAACUUUAAUGGCCUUAUCUUACCAGCUCCGGCCUGGCCUCCGAGUCCAGCCUCCAUCAUUUCCGGGGGAGGGCGGGACUUCCUGUCUGGGGAGGAGCCAAUUGGGAACGGGUUCUGCUGCCUGUGGACCCGAUUGGCUGAAUGCUUUUCAAAGUCCCAGAGAAAGCACAAUGUUUGAGUCCAAAUUGUUCAUAGAGAUCUGAAGGAGAAAAUUUGCCCUUGGUUACCAGGAGAAGACAUCAAUUACGGAACUGAAGAGUCGGUCGGUAUGGGGUAGGAAGCAAAUAAGAGGAGCUCUGUAGACACUUUGAUUACCCGUUUCCCCUUGUAAGUCGAGUGCCAUUCAUUUAGGCAUUCUUGUGCAGAAAAAGCUGUCAGGCUAAGUCCUGCAAGGGAGAUGUGGAGACAAAAAUAUCAGCAUGCACAUUAAAUAUUGAAUGGAAGUCAAAUACUGGUCAUGAAGAUUGCUAAGCAAGACUAAGGAACAAAAUUCUAAAGCCACAGGUAGAGAUAAGUCCCACACUUUUCAUAUGAGAUUUAGCAGUGUGCGGAAUUUUUUUUUAAGUGUUAGGGAAUAAUCCAUUUCAUUAGAGUGUUUGCAGCAGAUACAUGAAUGGCAUAAAUCACAUAUUACAAUUUGCCAUGGAAAUCUUACUGUCCCAAUUAAUUGUCUGUUUAGUUAGUGCAUUCUGCAGUGAGCCAUCCUUCUAAGGCCUGGUGGUAUUUCAUGGUACGUCAGUCAAUAACCUGCAUCCCCAGCCUAAUUGCCAAGGAGCUAUAUCCUGACUCUUAGACAGAGGUUGGCCUUGGGAAGGAUAAAGUUAUGUUUGUUAAAUGCAAGCCUCAUGAUCUCUGGAAGGCGUUAGCAAUAAUCUUCCUGCCCAUUGCACAAAUUUCUCCCUGUAAAUGCCAGUGAUCAUGGUGUAGACGAGCAUGUGCUCCAAUCCCAUGAUUUUACUUGAAAACUAAACUUCCUGUCAGCUUCUAAAGCCUUGCUCUCUCUUUUAAUGUUAGCAUUUUGUGAAAGUAAAUGGAAUUAGAAGUAAAUCCAUUUAAUCACACAUGAAGCACAAUUUUUCCUGAGAACUUCAGAUAUUUUCAUAUGAACAAUGGAAAAAUGAACAUGUCAUUUGCCAUCAUGUCAUUGGAAAAUUCUAAAAAAAUAUUUAAUUCUAGUUCCAAACACUUGUCUAUCUUAUUUAGAAAUAAUGUUUUAUUGGGUUUUUUUUAGUACUGUAUUUCACCUGUAUCUUUGCAAUAUAACUUUUUGAUUUUUUAAGAUUGAAAUAUAGUUGACAUACAAUAUUAGUUUCAGGUGUACAACAUAGUGAUUUGAAAUUUAUAUACAAUACGAAAUGAUCACCAUGAUUAGUCUAGUAACCAUCUGUCACCUUAUAAAAUCAUUACAAUGUUAUGACUAUAUUCCCUAUGCUGUACUUUGUAUCCCUGUGACUUAUUUGAAAUAAAUCUUUUUUUAGAUUACUUAGCUUUGAGUCU